UAGGGAAUCUUCCGCAAUGGACGCAAGUCUGACGGAGCAACGCCGCGUGAGUGAAGAAGGAUUUCGGUUCGUAAAACUCUGUUGUUAGAGAAGAACAGCGCAUAGAGUAACUGUUAUGCGUGUGACGGUAUCUAACCAGAAAGCCACGGCUAACUACGUGCCAGCAGCCGCGGUAAUACGUAGGUGGCAAGCGUUGUCCGGAUUUAUUGGGCGUAAAGCGAGCGCAGGCGGUCAAUUAAGUCUGAUGUGAAAGCCCCCGGCUCAACCGGGGAGGGUCAUUGGAAACUGGGUGACUUGAGUGCAGAAGGGGAGAGUGGAAUUCCAUGUGUAGCGGUGAAAUGCGUAGAUAUAUGGAGGAACACCGGUGGCGAAAGCGGCUCUCUGGUCUGUAACUGACGCUGAGGCUCGAAAGCGUGGGGAGCGAACAGG
rnacentral:rRNA from 1 species